GAUGAACGCUGGCGGCGUGCCUAAUACAUGCAAGUCGAGCGAACAGACGAGGAGCUUGCUCCUCUGACGUUAGCGGCGGACGGGUGAGUAACACGUGGAUAACCUACCUAUAAGACUGGGAUAACUUCGGGAAACCGGAGCUAAUACCGGAUAAUAUAUUGAACCGCAUGGUUCAAUAGUGAAAGACGGUUUUGCUGUCACUUAUAGAUGGAUCCGCGCCGCAUUAGCUAGUUGGUACGGUAACGGCUUACCAAGGCAACGAUGCGUAGCCGACCUGAGAGGGUGAUCGGCCACACUGGAAGUGAGACACGGUCCAGACUACUACGGGAGGGAGCAGUAGGGAAUCGUACGCAAUGGGCGAAAGCCUGACGGAGCAACGCCGAGUGAGUGAUGAAGGUCUUCGGAUCGUAAAACUCUGUUAUUAGGGAAGAACAAAUGUGUAAGUAACUAUGCACGUCUUGACGGUACCUAAUCAGAAAGCCACGGCUAACUACGUG
rnacentral:rRNA from 1 species